rnacentral:rRNA from 1 species
AAACCAACAGGGAUUGCCUUAGUAGCGGCGAGUGAAGCGGCAAUAGCUCAAAUUUGAAAUCUGGCACUUUCAGUGUCCGAGUUGUAAUUUGAAGAAGGUAUCUUUGGGUCUAGCUCUUGUCUAUGUUUCUUGGAACAGAACGUCACAGAGGGUGAGAAUCCCGUGCGAUGAGAUGUCUAGAUCUAUGUAAAGUUCCUUCGAAGAGUCGAGUUGUUUGGGAAUGCAGCUCUAAGUGGGUGGUAAAUUCCAUCUAAAGCUAAAUAUUGGCGAGAGACCGAUAGCGAACAAGUACAGUGAUGGAAAGAUGAAAAGAACUUUGAAAAGAGAGUGAAAAAGUACGUGAAAUUGUUGAAAGGGAAGGGCUUGAGAUCAGACUUGGUAUUUUGUAUGUUACUCUCUCGGGGGUGGCCUCUACAGUUUACCGGGCCAGCAUCAGUUUGAGCGGUAGGAGAAUUGCGUAGGAAUGUGGCUCGGCCUCGGUCGAGUGUUAUAGCCUUCGUCGAUACUGCCAGCUUAGACUGAGGACU